CGGAACGGAGGCCAAGACGCAGCGUGAACCGCAGAGGUGAGGCCAUUUCCGGGUAACGUUCGGCCACAACGCUUGCACCCCAGAGAUGUCUGAUACCGCAGCCAAAGGGGACAGCGAGAAUCCGCGCACGCUGAGCCCUGCCUGACUGCCCCAAGCUCCUGUCGUGUUUCGAACGUGUCAUUUCUCAUCUGUGCCACUCGUGGCGCUGCCUGCACGGGAACUGUGCGGGGAGCGAGGACUUUGCUGUCAAAACAGCCCACACAUGGUGCUGAAGGGCACCUGCUGUCAGCACGGGGGCUGCGUGAGCCUGCAGAGAAAAAUCUGUGUCAGCAUGAACUUUACGGUGAAUUUGAACGCACAAGAAAGAGCACAGCACUGGCCCUCAGGCAUCGCCAGAACUUCUUGGAAGACGUCCCCAGAGGAGAGAGGGGCACUGACCAGCUGCUCUCAGGCAGCCUUGUGAGGCCGUGCACACCCAUAGAUGCUGGCUCACACUGUGACACACGCCCACCUCUCCAAGCAGCCGGCCCACGCUGACGAGACCCACAUGGGGGUGACAGGAGCUCCUGUCCCCUGUGGAUUCACCCAGAGCGGUGCUGGGCCCGGUCACAGGGCUCCCCCUGGCUGGGAAGAGAGCUUGCUGACCCACAGGGCCGUCUGGUCCACAGGACACAGCUCAGGGUUGGAUGGGCCCUGAAACUCAGGCCCCAUGGAGCCCGGCUGUCAGUGCUGGGGGCGGAAGUUCACAUCUCUGCUGCCAGCUCCAUGCACAGCUCCUGCCCCCCACACAGGCAAAACCUCUUCCAAAACACUGGUCUUGUGCAAUUCUUAAAAAAAUGCUUCUGGACUUAGCCUGUGAGUAGCAAGUUACGGCUGCUCAGGUGUGACUUGAAAGUGUAUUUACUGAAAAAUACACUACAAGAAAAAUAAUCAAAAAACCACUUACACUCCUACCCUACCCCAGGCAGUGUGCUUGUUACGUGACGUGAAUUCUGCAGCUCAGAGAGAUGUGUUCCUAGACCGAAAUAGCAUGCUUUUCCUUUGACCUGAUGAAAAGAUCCUUGGGCGAUUUUGAAGCCUGCACCCAGGGUUUGCAAGGAGUGAAGUAAUUGACAAGGGGCUUUUUGUGGCUGUGCAAACACACCAAGGGCUCGAGGAAAACAGACACAAAAUCAGUCUCCUGGCUUCAUCCGUGUGAGGAGGAGUGCUGCUCCCGGGAGAGAUUUCCAGAAGCCCGCCAAGGCCACCGGGGCCCCGACGCCUGGGUACGGGCUGAGCCCCCUGUCCUUCUGCCCCCUGGAGGGAGCCCAGCCCUGCCACCUCUGUCCAAGACAGCAGGCCAGGAAGGGACAGGGACGGAGAAGGCUGGAGUCCUGCCACCCAGGAUCAGAGUCCCAGGCUUCCCUGGCCCAGGGCAAGGACAGCCGCAGACUGCGUAACUCCAGCUGCUAAGGCAGACUCCAGAAGCUCAGCUGCCCUCCGCGCCGAGGCCGCAGUGCUGUGCAGAAGUGCACCUGGCUGCACACACUGAAGAGCAACCGGCACCGAAACACAGCGUGCUGAGGGCUGACCUCCACUCAGGAGCGAAGAGAGCGAACAAACCCCCAUGUCAGUUGGCAGAGCCUGGGCCACCUACACGUUCCGAACCUCUCGGGGCCUCAGUGUCUCUCGGUGUAUAUUUGGAAUUAAAGAUGGGCGAGACCAAAAUAUGAAACAAGGGAGCCCACCCUAGAGAAACAACCACCACUGCAGACCCCAGCGGGCUACUGUGACGUACACCGGCUUCUCUUCCUAGCGAGCCAGAAUCAUUCUGAGAGACCAGCGAUGAAGCCCACCCGGCAUACACCGCUCUGAACCCGGGAAGCGGGCAGGCUCGUCCUGCAAGUACUUAGUCCCAACGCUCACGUAUUUUACCCAGCCAACUGCUCAUUUUGCUGCGUGAACUUGCCUGUCCAACCGGAGAGUGCGCUUCUCUGUCCUCAGCAGGAGAUGGCGACAGAGCUCCACCCCAGUCCCUGAAGACUGGCUAAAAAGCAGGAACGGGAAAAAGCGAAAAGGAAGGGAAAGGAGGAGUGGAGGGAUCAGAAAUGACUUCUGUCAACAAACUCUUAGGAAGGGAGAAAUAAAACCACUGGUUUCAGUCUUUAGAACUGAGCUCUCAUUCUAGCCCAUUGAGAAGCACAAGAGGACAAAAUGCAGAAAAACCCCUGACAUCCAAAUUUGCAACAAAUAAGUGGGAGAUACAGAAUCUAUUCCUAAUCUUAAGCCCAGAUAAAACACCACUGACUUGUUAGCCGUCUACCGUGAGCCGUGAGUUGUUCUUAGGGUUUCUCUGCAGACCCUGGGCAAGCAAACCUCUCAGCAAUGCCCCCACUUCUGUGCUCAGAGCUCUGUCUUCUGUUUAAAAGGAGCGUCCAGGAACAGGGUCUCCUGGUCCCCGGCCCCAGCUGAGUAGAGCCGGUGCUCAUGAAAAUUCCUCUCCCACUGGGGAAGCCACAGCCACUUGCC
ensembl:lncRNA